GUGGCUAGCCACACAGGAGCACUUGGUGUUUCUUUUGUUUGCAGUGUUCCCGUUUUCCAUCUUCAUCACAUAUCCUAAGUCCAGUGGUCACAAAAGAUCAAAUAAAAGAAUCGGACGGUAACUUAAGAGAAGAUGAUUUAAUGAAGUUAAAAAGAAGAGUCUCUCAGUGAUGAGAUUUGUUAAAAUACCAAAAGGGUAGUGUGGUCUGGGUUAUGUUGGAGACCUUUCAUCCUUUUCACUUGACUUUGAUGCUCAUAUAAUUGCAGUCAGAUGGAGUAGGUAUUUCUCAGUUCCUUCUAGCCAACAGUUGAUAGAUGAUUGCUGAAUGGUGGUGUGUGGGUUGCCUGCAUCAAAAUCACUUGCAGUCUAAGAAAAAAUUCCUAGGCCUACCCCACUCGAUUCUAAAGCAGCAGGGCUUGGGUAAAACCCA
rnacentral:lncRNA from 1 species